rnacentral:rRNA from 1 species
GACAGCAGCCGCCGCGGUAAUACGAAGGGUGCAAGCGUUAAUCGGAAUUACUGGGCGUAAAGCGUGCGUAGGCGGUGAGUUAAGUCUGCUGUGAAAUCCCCGGGCUCAACCUGGGAAUGGCAGUGGAUACUGGCUCGCUAGAGUGUGUCAGAGGAUGGUGGAAUUCCCGGUGUAGCGGUGAAAUGCGUAGAGAUCGGGAGGAACAUCAGUGGCGAAGGCGGCCAUCUGGGACAACACUGACGCUGAGGCACGAAAGCGUGGGGAGCAAACAGGAUUAGAUACCCCAGUAGUCCCUGUCUCUUAUAC